rnacentral:lncRNA from 1 species
CGUAAGUUUGACCCUUCCUUCCUUGGUGCUCAGAACCACCGCUUAAGUGAGGACAGGCCAUUUCCAUGUAGCCCUCACCCUGCGUAACGAUUGCUAUCUUGGUCGCCCUUGAAUUGUACAAGGGUCCAGCCAUUGAUCCCUAUAUGUGCAUAAAAAGUCCCAUUAUAAUUUAUAAAUAGUGGACGGUUCAUUCGAAUCGAAACAUGAGAAAGCAGAAAAAUAAAAAAAUAAAAAAUAAAAAAUCGAGGGGGGUGAUAAUGUGCAUACUCUAGUUAUGUUGGCGAAGGAAAUCAUAAGGUCGAGAUCUUGUAGCUGCUCCUUGUGAUCAUUAGGUCUAGCUUCAAAGAGCUGACCAUGGUUGUUGCUUUGAACGGGGCGUUUGUGUAGAAGAUUGAAUGGGGCGCCACUUGAUUCUCCUCCA